rnacentral:tRNA from 1 species
UCCCUGGUGGCUCAGAUGGUAAAAGCAUCUGUCUACAAUGCAGAAGACCCAGGUUCAAUCCCUGGGUCGGGAA